AACCCAAGUGGCCGCCCAGAAUAUAUUCUUACAUGUACAAAGUUACAAACUGUGAUUCCUUCGCAGUUAGUUAACUAUUAUCAGAGGCUGUUAACCAUACCCAAAUAACUUGAGUGGUUUUAGCUUGACAAGUAUGAGUGAUUUUUUUUUUCAAAUGAUGCAAAACCAUGAUUACUUGAGUCAUUAAAAUAUGAAGAAGAGUGACUGAUAAGAUUGCGCAUGGUGCUCGGACUCGGUCUCUUGCUACAAUCUAUGUUGAUUCGGUUCCACGAGUUGGUUUUCGGGUAUGAAAUUCUAGCAUGUGGGUUAGUUAGUCUCCAAUAGAGAGUUGAAACAUUCAUAUUAACUUUUUUUCCACUGUUGGUUCGAUCAAACAAGGAGUGAUCAAAGUGUUUUUUUUUUUGGGUAGCUUACACUGACAUAACAUUUGUGAUGCAGCUAUGAAGCUACAUCAUCUAGGAAAAACCGUAGCCUCGGGAUGGAGCUCGCAUCUGCAACAGUAGCAUCUGUUUUCUUGGGGUUUGGAUCGUUGUUUUUGCUACUUGCGAGUGGUGUUUAUGUCUGAUACUUCUUCCUCAAUACUGUUCCCGACUAGUUCAGUUAAGGAGUGAAAAAAUCAAGAGUUUUGAUGAAUUAAAAAAGUGCGGUUAAAUAAUAAAAUUUAACCAACAGAUUUAAUCCAGGUUUUAAUUACUUGACUUGACCCAAGUUUUGCACCGUUCAGUUCCGUUUUCAACAACAAAAAUAAUUAAAAUUAACUUUUAAUUUAUUUUAUUUUUUAAAAAUAGUGUUUUUAUUCUAUUUGACUAUAUAUCAGUUUUUUUAUUUAAAUAAAAAAACUGACAUAUAGUCAAAUGAGUAUCUGGAUGGAAUAAAAAAAUUCUAAUUUAAAACAUGUAUCUUGCCUCUCUCUUUCGUUUUAUAUUUUUUUCCGAAGUAUUUAUUACUUCUGCUCCUAAGGCUUUCAGACCUGAGUUAGUGCUUUGGUGGGAUUUUUUUAUUUACAUAUAUUUAGUGACGAGAUUUCGACCAUUGAAAAUGCUCUUAUUUAUGUAUCAAUACUAUUAAAAAGAAAUGAUUCUUAAAAAAUCUACUUAU